rnacentral:rRNA from 1 species
AACGAAUGCUGGCGGCAGGCUUAACACAUGCAAGUCGAACGCAUCGCAAGAUGAGUGGCAGACGGGUGAGUAACGCGUGGGAACAUACCCUUUUCUACGGAAUAGCUCUGGGAAACUGGAAUUAAUACCGUAUACACCCUUUACUGGUGGACAGUUUAGGGGAAAGAUUUAUCGGGGAAGGAUUGGCCCGCGUUGGAUUAGCUAGUUGGUGGGGUAACGGCCUACCAAGGCGACGAUCCAUAGCUGGUCUGAGAGGAUGAUCAGCCACAUUGGGACUGAGACACGGCCCAAACUCCUACGGGAGGCAGCAGUGGGGAAUAUUGGACAAUGGGCGCAAGCCUGAUCCAGCCAUGCCGCGUGAGUGAUGAAGGCCUUAGGGUUGUAAAGCUCUUUCACCGAUGAAGAUAAUGACGGUAGUCGGAGAAGAAGCCCCGGCUAACUUCGUGCCAGCCGCCGCCGUAA